AAACUUGUCACUUUCCUAGGGGAAGAUAAUAUGGGGCGUUCAGUAAGCAUCCUUUAUAUGGGUUUGAGUCACUUAAGCUGUGCUGACCAGCGGCUCGAGCACCAUUUCAAUCAACAUUUCGUCAAAUAUGAGCAAGAAGUAAGCAUCACACAUAAAAGGCAUUUCAAGUUAUUUCCUUCGGUCUUUCCUUCACAAAACAGAGCCUGCAAGGAUUAAAAAUUGUGAAUCCAUAAACGAAAUCAGCCACGUCAAGAGUU